AUUGAACGCUGGCGGCAUGCUUUACACAUGCAAGUCGAACGGACUUAGGGGCUUGCUCCUAGGUUAGUGGCGAACGGGUGAGUAAUGCAUCGGAACGUACCGUGUAGUGGGGGAUAACGCAGCGAAAGUUGUGCUAAUACCGCAUACGAUCUACGGAUGAAAGCAGGGGAUCGCAAGACCUUGUGCUAUACGAGCGGCCGAUGUCGGAUUAGCUAGUUGGUGAGGUAAAGGCUCACCAAGGCGACGAUCCGUAGCGGGUCUGAGAGGAUGAUCCGCCACACUGGGACUGAGACACGGCCCAGACUCCUACGGGAGGCAGCAGUGGGGAAUUUUGGACAAUGGGCGCAAGCCUGAUCCAGCCAUGCCGCGUGAGUGAAGAAGG
rnacentral:rRNA from 1 species